CCUACGGGUGGCAGCAGUGAGGAAUAUUGGUCAAUGGCCGAGAGUCUGAACCAGCCAAGUAGCGUGCGGGAUGACGGCCCUACGGGUUGUAAACCUCUUUUGCACGGGGAUAAAACCCUCCACGUGUGGAGCUCUGCAUGUACCCUGCGAAUAAGGGCCGGCUAACUCCGUGCCAGCAGCCGCGGUAAUACGGAGGGUCCGAGCGUUAUCCGGAUUUAUUGGGUUUAAAGGGUGCGUAGGCGGACGUGCAAGUCAGCUGUAAAAUUGCGGGGCUCAACCGCGGACCGCAGUUGAAACUGCAGGCCUUGAGUGCGCAAGAGGCAGGCGGAAUGCGUGGUGUAGCGGUGAAAUGCAUAGAUAUCACGCAGAACCCCGAUUGCGAAGGCAGCAUACCGGGGUGCAACUGACGCUGAGGCUCGAAGGCGUGGGUAUCAAACAGGAUUAGAUACCCCAGUAGUC
rnacentral:rRNA from 1 species